rnacentral:rRNA from 1 species
UACGUAGGGUGCAAGCGUUAAUCGGAAUUACUGGGCGUAAAGGGCGCGUAGGCGGUUCGUACAGUCAGACGUGAAAUUCCUGGGCUCAACCUGGGGGCUGCGUUUGAUACGUGCGGACUUGAGUGCGGAAGAGGGUCGUGGAAUUCCCAGUGUAGAGGUGAAAUUCGUAGAUAUUGGGAAGAACACCGGUGGCGAAGGCGGCGACCUGGUCCGAUACUGACGCUGAGGCGCGAAAGCGUGGGGAGCAAACAGG